rnacentral:rRNA from 1 species
GGGACGAACGCUGGCGGUGUGCUUAACACAUGCAAGUCGAGCGGAAAGGCCCUUCGGGGUACUCGAGCGGCGAACGGGUGAGUAACACGUGAGUAACCUGCCCCAAACUUUGGGAUAACCCUCGGAAACGGGGGCUAAUACCGAAUAUUACUUCUGGUCGCAUGGCUGGUGGUGGAAAGUUUUUCGGUUUGGGAUGGACUCGCGGCCUAUCAGCUUGUUGGUGAGGUAAUGGCUCACCAAGGCGAGGACGGGUAGCC